GAAAUACACUCGGAGGUUUGCCAUUGCCUGCCGAGGGGCGGCCGCUGUUAAGAAAACCCCUUUUUUCUAUGUUUUUUCCGAUGUUGCUUUGACGAGGGCUUGAGCCCAGGUCCUGCGGAGUGGUAGCGCGCACUGCUAACCACUACAUCACAGCGGCCCCCAAUUAUUAUUAAAAUAC